GUUUGGCUGUGGCACGGGUUCGGCUUCGGCACGGUUGGGCACAGAUAAUGAGGCCUGGGCUCCCGCUGCCUCGCCUCUGCAGCUCCAGCCAGAUGCUUGAACCCGCAGUUAUCUUUAACCACAUGAUUAUCUCUGUGUGAGUCAAUGCAGCCAGCUGCAGGCAUCUGGUUAAGCAUGUGCUCAAGUAUUUUAAUGUGCAGAAGCCUUGGUUUAACAACAAAUAGGUGGUGAGGAAUUCUGAAGUGCUUCAGGCGUUUAACUGGAAAAGAAGGGUGUGAGCGCAGCAUGCUGUGCUGGUGGGGUGUGUUGGGAAAUCACCUCACGGAAACCAUCACGCAGUGGCUGCGGUCGGCGUUGUUCUCAGCAUGGGGAAACGCGGAGGGAUCCUGCGCAGCCUCCCCAGGCAUGGUCCCGCAGCUCUGUGUGGAUGCCCAGUGCUGUUGGAGAUGCUCCAGCGUGUUUCACGUGGCCGCCAGCUGCUGCUGCCAAGGGACAGGCCCCUGGGCUCCUGCGAUGCGUCUGCCAGCCCUGUGCCGGUGCCCCAGCUUCAUUGCAGAGUGCCUGCCCGAAGGAGCGCGAGGAGCAUGGGGAGAGAGGCGGCAGAGGGACAGCCAUCAAACUGCCUGGGGUUUGCUCAGCAAAGCAGCGUGUUUCAUUAAUCGGUUCCAGCACUAAUUGAAGGCCCGUGUGGUCAGCGGUCUGGUCCCCCAGUCCUGUUGCAGUGCCACGUAAGACAUUGUGAGAGCAGAAAGGUGCGUUGUUCCUUGGAGCAGUGCAGCACAUGAUGCGAACACAGGAGCGAGAAGGGGGAAUUGCCCGUCUGAGGGCAGGAGCUGUGCUCUUUGUCUUUAAAAGAGCUGUCAUGGAACAGCUCCUCAUUGAUAUUUUUCAUUGAUUUUUUUUUCCCCUGCAAAUAUCAAGUGUGCUAAUAGAAUUUGCUAGUACCGUGGCAUUGGGAAGCAUUUUGUAAAGUCAGUGAAGGUUUGGGUGACAGGAGUUCCUGUUAUCCAUGCUACAGACCUGGUGUGAACCUGGAUGUAUGGUAUUCAGCCUCUUAGAGAAAAUCUGCUUUCACUGUGGAAACGUGUGUUGUCUUGCCUUGUUUUUCAGCAUCUCUUUUUAGCCCUCCUGCAGGUGCUGGCUGACUUCAAGCAAAUUAAAGAGAAUUUCAGGAUGUUUCCAGUCCCAUAAAACGGCAAUGACCAGAAAUGCUUCUGCUGAAAACCAGAAGAAUAUUAGCAAGGACUUCUGUAGCAUGUCUGGGCAGCUGCUGAGAGGAGGUAGCAGAUCAUGUGGCAGCGGCUCCAAGCCUUCCAGAAGCACCUGCAGGCUUUGGUCUGACAGGCACACAGCGGAGGAUGCAUGGCCAGGAGCCCCUCCGUGGCAAGAACUAAAAUAAGAGAAGACGUGUGACUGUAUCAAACAGAAAAUGAGUUUAUUAAAGGAAACGCAGGGAGCGAGGUACAGCUGGAUGUUUUGCCUCUGUGCAUAGAGCAUGAACGUGAUUCACCCGGCACAGUUCAGAUGAUGUACAGUGUCUGGCACUCCAGUCAGGGAAAUCCUGACUGUUAGUUGCGUAGAAUAGCACCUAGAUGCUGCAGGGCAGGCUGGAGAUCAUGGAGCUAUACAGGUAUAAAAAUAGUCCCUUCCCCAUGCAUGUUACACGUAGCUAGGCAGAGGAGUGUCAUGUACUGCAGAUAUUCCAGAGAGGAGAGCUGAGAUCUUCUGGAGCUUGAGAGACUUCAAAACUAAUUUAAUCAAUUGCUGGUAUGUAGUUACAAAUCUAAAUUUUUAAGAAAAAAAAGGAAAGAAAUGCUAGUAGACCUGCGGAGGAUCUA